CAGCAAUAGCUCAAAUUUGAAAUCUGGCGUCUUCGACGUCCGAGUUGUAAUUUGUAGAGGAUGCUUCUGAGUAACCACCGACCUAAGUUCCUUGGAACAGGACGUCAUAGAGGGUGAGAAUCCCGUAUGCGGUCGGAAAGGUGCUCUACACGUAGCUCCUUCGACGAGUCGAGUUGUUUGGGAAUGCAGCUCUAAAUGGGAGGUAAAUUUCUUCUAAAGCUAAAUAUUGGCCAGAGACCGAUAGCGCACAAGUAGAGUGAUCGAAAGAUGAAAAGCACUUUGGAAAGAGAGUUAAAAAGCACGUGAAAUUGUUAAAAGGGAAGGGAUUGCAACCAGACUUGCUCGCGGUGUUCCGCCGGUCUUCUGACCGGUCUACUCGCCGCGUUGCAGGCCAGCAUCGUCUGGUGCCGCUGGAUAAGACUUGAGGAAUGUAGCUCCCUCGGGAGUGUUAUAGCCUCUUGUGAUGCAGCGAGCGCCGGGCGAGGUCCGCGCUUCGGCUAGGAUGCUGGCGUAAUGGUCGUAAUCCGCCCGU
rnacentral:rRNA from 1 species